CAUAAAAAUCCAGAUCUAAAAGCAUAUUUCUAAAAACAUACUCUAGUUAGUAGUGCAAAAGUGCAAAACGGCAUCGCUUUUACAUUAAUCACGUGUGUAUUCAGAAAAUCAGAAUUUUUUUUUGUGUGUCAAACGGACACUUUAUGGAGAGCCCAGAUGCAAGUGGACCAAGAUCUGAGUGAAUAUAUGCGCCCACCUAACCUAAUGGGCCCAACCCAAAUCCAUCAACGCUCUUCACAGCAAUUCUUUCUUCUUCUUCUUCCUCAACUACGCCACAAUCCAAGUCCUCAGUUCUAACAAUGGAGAAAGGGGUUUCGAAAGUUACAAUUACUCCAGACCCUGAACAGAACCUCUCUUUCAUGUUGUAUUCAUGGGUUCUCAGGACAGCUCAGCAGUUUC